GACGAACGCUGGCGGCGUGCCUAAUACAUGCAAGUUGAGCGCUGAAGGUUGGUACUUGUACCAACUGGAUGAGCAGCGAACGGGUGAGUAACGCGUGGGGAAUCUGCCUUUGAGCGGGGGACAACAUUUGGAAACGAAUGCUAAUACCGCAUAAAAACUUUAAACACAAGUUUUAAGUUUGAAAGAUGCAAUUGCAUCACUCAAAGAUGAUCCCGCGUUGUAUUAGCUAGUUGGUGAGGUAAAGGCUCACCAAGGCGAUGAUACAUAGCCGACCUGAGAGGGUGAUCGGCCACAUUGGGACUGAGACACGGCCCAAACUCCUACGGGAGGCAGCAGUAGGGAAUCUUAGGCAAUGGACGAAAGUCUGACCGAGCAACGCCGCGUGAGUGAAGAAGGUUUUCGGAUCGUAAAACUCUGUUGGUAGAGAAGAACGUUGGUGAGAGUGGAAAGCUCAUCAAGUGACGGUAACUACCCAGAAAGGGACGGCUAACUACGU
rnacentral:rRNA from 1 species